CCUACGGGUGGCAGCAGUGGGGAAUAUUGGACAAUGGGGGCAACCCUGAUCCAGCCAUGCCGCGUGUGUGAAGAAGGCCCUCGGGUUGUAAAGCACUUUCAGUGAGGAAGAACGCCUGGUGGUUAAUACCCAUCAGGAAAGACAUCACUCACAGAAGAAGCACCGGCUAACUCCGUGCCAGCAGCCGCGGUAAUACGGAGGGUGCGAGCGUUAAUCGGAAUUACUGGGCGUAAAGCGCGCGUAGGUGGCUUGAUAAGCCGGUUGUGAAAGCCCCGGGCUCAACCUGGGAACGGCAUCCGGAACUGUCAAGCUAGAGUGCAGGAGAGGAAAGUAGAAUUCCCGGUGUAGCGGUGAAAUGCGUAGAGAUCGGGAGGAAUACCAGUGGCGAAGGCGGCCUUCUGGACUGACACUGACACUGAGGUGCGAAAGCGUGGGUAGCAAACAGGAUUAGAUACCCCUGUAGUC
rnacentral:rRNA from 1 species